rnacentral:rRNA from 1 species
GGAUAACAUACCGAAAGGUAUGCUAAUACGGGAUAAUAUAUUUGAGAGGCAUCUCUUAAAUAUCAAAGGUGAGCCAGUACAGGAUGGACCCGCGUCUGAUUAGCUAGUUGGUAAGGUAACGGCUUACCAAGGCGACGAUCAGUAGCCGACCUGAGAGGGUGAUCGGCCACAUUGGAACUGAGACACGGUCCAAACUCCUACGGGAGGCAGCAGUGGGGAAUAUUGCACAAUGGGCGAAAGCCUGAUGCAGCAACGCCGCGUGAGUGAUGAAGGCCUUCGGGUCGUAAAACUCUGUCCUCAAGGAAGAUAAUGACGGUACUUGAGGAGGAAGCCCCGGCUAACUACGUGCCAGCAGCCGCGGUAAUACGUAGGGGGCUAGCGUUAUCCGGAUUUACUGGGCGUAAAGGGUGCGUAGGCGGUCUUUCAAGUCAGGAGUGAAAGGCUACGGCUCAACCGUAGUAAGCUCUUGAAACUGGGAGACUUGAGUGCAGGAGAGGAGAGUGGAAUUCCUAGUGUAGCGGUGAAAUGCGUAGAUAUUAGGAGGAACACCAGUUGCGAAGGCGGCUCUCUGGACUGUAACUGACGCUGAGGCACGAAAGCGUGGGGAGCAAACAGGAUUAGAUACCCUGGUAGUCCACGCUGUAAACGAUGAGUAGUAGGUGUCGGGGGUUACCCCCUUCGGUGCCGCA